AAACAUCGAGUUGGGUAAAGAGCAUUAUAGAACAGAUCGAGACUCCUGACCUCAAAAAGGUAGUUGCUAAGUUAUCAAAUGUAUAUCCAAAGGACACAGAAGCUCCAGCUGGUGGUGUUGAUCACAUGACAAAACUAUCAUAUUUGCAUGAGCCAGGAGUCCUGCAGAAGUUAAGAAUUAGAUACGAACUCAAUGACAUUUUUUAUGCCAAAUUUUCCUCAUGGGCAUUUACUAAAAAUGUGUUUUAUCACGUUCAGAUAAGAGACCAAACAUUGAGUUGGAUAAAGAGCAUUAUAGAACAGAUGGUCAUUGCAAAUGGUGGAAAAAAGGCGGUUAUCAUCUUAAUUUUUUUCAUUUAUUUAUUUUGUAUUGAGUUUAUAUAUUGUUUAAUAUAUUAUUUAUGUAAUAAAAUAAUUGCAAUUAUAGGUAGAAGCUCGCUUACACUCACUUACUAUCCAAUUAUAGGUAGACAUAACAUCGAGUUGGAUAAAGAGCAUUAUAGAACAGAUCGAGACUCCUGAACUCAAAAAGGUAGUUGUUAAGUUAUCAAAUGUAUAUCCAAAGGACACAGAAGCUCCAACUGGUGGUGUUGAUCACAUGACAAAACUAUCAUAUUUGCAUGAGCCAGGAGUCCUGCAGAACUUAAGAAUUAGAUACGAACUCAAUGAAAUUUACACUUACACCGGAAACAUUCUAAUUGCAAUAAACCCGUUCCAAAAGUUACCUCAUUUGUACGAUGGUCAUAUGAAGGAAGAAUAUAAGGGAGCAUUGUUUGGAGAACUAAGUCCGCAUGUAUUUGCAGUAGCUAAUGCGUUUUACAGGUCUCUGUCAUUUAUUGAGUGGCCUAACAAUUAUUUUGCAUUUUUUCAACAUAUAAUUAUGUUUAAUGAAACUAGGGCUAUGAUUUAGGAGGGUAAAAGUAAUUCUAUUCUGGUCAGUGGUGAAAGUGGAACAGGUAAAACGGAGACAAUCAAAAUGCUUAUGCAGUAUUUAGCAUAUUUGGGUGGUCGGAAAGCUACUGAAGGACGCACAGUUGAACCACAAGCUCUAGAAAUAUGAUACAUGACGUAUAGUUCUAUAUUAAAACUACUUAAUUAUUCUGUAAUUUGGAGCUUGCCAUAAAUAUACUCACAUAAAUAUAUACCUGACAGAGAACUAACCCAACUGAAUGCAUGCACCAUUCACUAAGGUUAAUCAGUUUUUACAUGCUCACUUACUCCUUCGUAUUCAAUAACCUUCCAUUUUUUUUUCUAUUUUAUUUGUUUAUUUUAUAGGAUCCACCAGUUAUGACGGAAGA